UAGGAAAAGCAUCUGAAUCUCUGCUGGCUAUCUCUUCUCCUGGUUUGGUUCAUUCUUGUCUUGAUUAACACAACUGAAAGCUUCAAAUUUUCACAGAAGAGAAAAGUUUUAAUUGGCAUUGCCUUCUUGGUGUGUCAUGACAGGCUAAGAGAUGAAGCUCUCAUACUGCAUCCUGGCUUUGGCACACUCCAAUAGCCUGGUCUUUCCAUAGUUUCGCUUGGAGAUAUGCAGACAUAAUAUUGGUGUUCAGCUGUCUUCAUAAAAAUGACAAGUAAUGUGAUUUCUUUUGCUUUUUAAAUGUCUUUCUCUUUCUUUCUCUCAGAACAUAUCAUUAAAACUCGAAAAUAUCAAUCUCUACCUAUUUUUUCCAGUUCUAUGUGAAAGAAUGACUACUCAGUUACUCACUCUUACUGUUCCUCAGUAGAUUGAGAAUGGUCUUUCAUUGACUUUAUUUUCUUGCUCUGCAAAUUUUGCAAAGCAAGAGUUUCUGUGCUAACAGGUCUUACUAGAUCAUUUGAAUUUCUG
rnacentral:lncRNA from 1 species